AGGGUUUGAUUAUGGCUCAGGAUGAACGCUGGCGGCGUGCCUAACACAUGCAAGUCGAGCGAAGCGCCUGCUUUUGAUUCUUUCGGGAUGAAGAAGCUUGCGACUGAGCGGCGGACGGGUGAGUAACACGUAGGCAACCUGCCUCACACAGGGGGAUAACAGUUAGAAAUGACUGCUAAUACCGCAUAAGCGCACAGGGCUGCAUGGCCCGGUGUGAAAAGCUCCGGCGGUGUGAGAUGGACCUGCGUCUGAUUAGCCAGUUGGCGGGGUAACGGCCCACCAAAGCGACGAUCAGUAGCCGGCCUGAGAGGGUGGACGGCCACAUUGGGACUGAGACACGGCCCAG
rnacentral:rRNA from 1 species